CCUACGGGAGGCUGCAGUGAGGAAUAUUGGUCAAUGGACGAGAGUCUGAACCAGCCAAGUAGCGUGAAGGAUGACUGCCCUAUGGGUUGUAAACUUCUUUUAUAUAGGAAUAAAAUGUUCCCCGUGUGCCAUUUUGUAUGUACCUUAUGAAUAAGGAUCGGCUAACUCCGUGCCAGCAGCCGCGGUAAUACGGAGGAUCCGAGCGUUAUCCGGAUUUAUUGGGUUUAAAGGGAGCGUAGUUGGGUUGUUAAGUCAGUUGUGAAAGUUUGCGGCUCAACCGUAAAAUUGCAGUUGAGACUGGCAGCCUUGAGUACAGUAGAGGUGGGCGGAAUUCGUGGUGUAGCGGUGAAAUGCUUAGAUAUCACGAAGAACUCCGAUUGCGAAGGCAGUUUACUAAACUGCCACUGACACUGAGGCUCGAAAGUGUGGGUAUCAAACAGGAUUAGAUACCCGGGUAGUC
rnacentral:rRNA from 1 species